AUUGAACGCUGGCGGCAUGCUUUACACGUGCAAGUCGAACGGUAACAGGCCGCAAGGUGCUGACGAGUGGCGAACGGGUGAGUAAUGCAUCGGAACGUGCCCAGUCGUGGGGGAUAACGCAGCGAAAGCUGCGCUAAUACCGCAUACGAUCUAUGGAUGAAAGCGGGGGACCGUAAGGCCUCGCCCGAUUGGAGCGGCCGAUGUCAGAUUAGGUAGUUGGUGGGGUAAAGGCUCACCAAGCCGACGAUCUGUAGCUGGUCUGAGAGGACGACCAGCCACACUGGGACUGAGACACGGCCCAGACUCCUACGGGAGGCAGCAGUGGGGAAUUUUGGACAAUGGGGGCAACCCUGAUCCAGCAAUGCCGCGUGCAGGAAGAAGGCCUUCGGGUUGUAAACUGCUUUUGUACGGAACGAAACGGCUCUGGUUAAUACCCGGGGCUAAUGACGGUACCGUAAGAAUAAGCACCGGCUAACUACGUGCCAGCAGCCGCAGUAA
rnacentral:rRNA from 1 species